CAACCAGGCUUCUGUGUGAAUUCUUUCUCCUCCGAAGCCAAGAACCGAGGGAUUUCCCACGCGAGAAACCUAACACAGCGCCUGCAACAGAAGGCUCAAACCUACAAUUAUCCGGAUGGUGCAGGACUGGUGGUAGGCAAGUUUCAUCUGAUGGCAGACGUGCACGGAAGAGCCGAGAGAAACGUCUGCUCCACUUGCUUCCAUGAGUAAGCAAAGUUUGAAACAUCAUAAUGGAUGGCUUCCACCAAACAACUCCCCAACGUCUACUUCAAGCUCUGCUCGAGGACACUGAAAUGAUCUCGGCUCAUUUCCAACCGGACACAUUUGAAAUUUCACUUUCCUAGGUGCAGCAAUUAUAAAGACAAGUAUGUGCACGUCUUUCAGAUAAAACAUGACUCAACAUGCAAGCUGCUUUGCGCAUUGUGAUUGAGAAGCCAGCUUUUCAUUAGCCUCCCACUUUACUAUGGAGACGGCAAGGGAAGCGGUAGAGGCAGUGGCCUACCGCUCUUUCCAAGGGAGUGUGGCAGUCCCUCUUGUCCUGUGCACGCUCACGCAUAACCAAGCUCCCAAUUGGUAGGCCGGUGGCUACCCGUCAUAAAGGCAUUUACUUCCUGCCGCCUGGAAGUGACAGGUGACCAUGUGACUAAGGUCUGCUCAGUGGAUGCGUGGCUGUACUUUUUGGAUUGGUGUCACGUUUGUGGUUUCUCUUCCCUUUCAAUUUUUUGGUAUGAAAAUCAACUAUA